rnacentral:rRNA from 1 species
UACAGAGGUCUCAAGCGUUGUUCGGAUUCAUUGGGCGUAAAGGGUGCGUAGGUGGUGCUGUAAGUCAGGUGUGAAAUCCCGGGGCUCAACCCCGGAACUGCACUUGAUACUGCAGUGCUCGAGGACUGGAGAGGAGAUCGGAAUUCAUGGUGUAGCAGUGAAAUGCGUAGAUAUCGAGAGGAACACCUGCGGCGAAGGCGGGUUGCUGGGCUGACACUGACGCUGAUGCGCGAAAGCCAGGGGAGCGAACGGG